rnacentral:rRNA from 1 species
GUCCACGCCCUAAACGUUUAUUACUCGUUGUUGGCGAUAUACUGUCAGCGACCAAGCUAAAGCGUUAAGUAAUCCACCUGGGAAGUACGACCGCAAGGUUGAAACUCAAAGGAAUUGACGGGGGCCCGCACAAGCGGAGGAGCAUGUGGUUUAAUUCGAUGAUACGCGAGGAACCUUACCUGGGCUUGAAAGUUAGUGACUUUCUGUGAAAGCAGAAUUCUCUUCGGAGCACGAAACUAGGUGCUGCAUGGCUGUCGU